rnacentral:rRNA from 1 species
GGGGAAUAUUGCACAAUGGGGGAAACCCUGAUGCAGCAACGCCGCGUGAGUGAAGAAGUAUUUCGGUAUGUAAAGCUCUAUCAGCAGGGAAGAUAAUGACGGUACCUGACUAAGAAGCUCCGGCUAAAUACGUGCCAGCAGCCGCGGUAAUACGUAUGGAGCAAGCGUUAUCCGGAUUUACUGGGUGUAAAGGGUGCGUAGGUGGCAGUGCAAGUCAGAUGUGAAAGGCCGGGGCUCAACCCCGGAGCUGCAUUUGAAACUGCUCGGCUAGAGUACAGGAGAGGCAGGCGGAAUUCCUAGUGUAGCGGUGAAAUGCGUAGAUAUUAGGAGGAACACCAGUGGCGAAGGCGGCCUGCUGGACUGUUACUGACACUGAGGCACGAAAGCGUGGGGAGCAAAC